GAUGAAGAACGCAGCGAAAUGCGAUACUUGGUGUGAAUUGCAGAAUCCCGUGAACCAUCGAGUCUUUGAACGCAAGUUGCGCCCGAAGCCAUCAGGUUGAGGGCACGUCUGCCUGGGCGUCACAUAUCGUUGCCCAAUGCCUAUUGCAGUGCAAUAAGAAUUUCUAGGGCGAAUGAUGGCUUCCCGUGAGCGUUGUUGCCUCGCGGUUGGUUGAAAAUCGAGUCCUUUGUAGGGUGUGCCAUGGUAGAUGGUGGUCGAGUUAGAACGAUACCGAUCAUGUGCAUGCUCCCCAAAAUAUGGCCUCUAUGACCCACACGCGUCUUUUGACGCUCAUGACGAGACCUCAGGUCAGGCGGGGCUACCCGCUGAAUUUAAGCAUAUCAAUAAGCGGAGGA
rnacentral:misc_RNA from 1 species